UAAGCACCCAUUUUCACUGGAGUUUUUAGGCUAGAAACAACAUAUACUGCAAAAAUAGUGUUAACAAGUCACUUGGAGAAUUGAUUCUCCUACCUAAAGGAGAUAAAUAUUUCUGAAAAAACACGCAGAUUUACCUGAUGCCUGGAGAGACUGUGAGGCUUGCUGUGUAACAGUUUAUAAUGUGAAUUUUUAAUGGUUUUAAACUGUGUUUUAAUUGCAGAUUUGGCCUAUUGGAAGGGAAAUAAACUGCAAGUGCUUAAAAACACUGUCUGUUUCUGAAGAUCGCAGCAUCUCCCUACAGCCCAGACUGCACUUUGAUGGUAAAUACAUAGUGUGCAGUUCAGCACUAGGACUGUACCAGUGGGACUUUGCCAGCUACGAUAUUCUCAGGGUUAUCAAACCUCCAGACUUCUUAAAUGUGUCCUUGCUGGGCUUUGGAGAGAUAUUUGCUCUACUAUUUGAUAACAGAUACCUGUAUAUAAUGGACUUGAGGACAGAAAAACUGAUAAGCCGCUGGCCACUACCAGAAUAUAGAAAGUCAAAGAGAGGUUCGAGUUUUUUGGCUGGUGAAAUGUCUUGGUUAAAUGGACUAAAUGGCCAAAAUGAUACGGGCUUGGUUUUUGCCACCAGUAUGCCAGACCAUAGUAUCCAUUUGGUGUUAUGGAAAGAACAUGGCUGAAAAGCUCACAUAUGCAGAAUCUUCAGGAAUAUAUGGACUGUCAGCAGCGUGUCCAUAAAAUGAGACUUUGCAUGAACCAAAGUUGCGCACCCAAUGGUAUCAUCAUGCAAUGCACAAUCAUUUACUUUUAUUUGGGCAUUUGGGAAUGGGUUGUUUUGGACAUAAUGCAAUACAGCAUGCUAACAGUAUUCACCACAACAUUUUGUCUAUACUCAUGUUUAAAUAUACCUAUUUGGGUUCUGAAGCAUAGCUUGUAAUGUUUAAACCAUUCAAGUCUGCUAUCAAGUCUGAAAUGAAGUAGUGCUUGACCUGACUUCUGACCUAUUUUUUUGUUGUUGAAACAGAAGGUGAAGCUACGAUUUUAGAACCAUAGGCUUUUAUACAUGUAACAGCAAAUACUGGUUACAGUGCAUGGCUGCUUAACAAAAAUGAGAAGAUAGCAAACCUUUUCUAUCUCCAGAAUCUUUCUCCAAAAUGUUUUUCUUUCUGGUAGCUUUAAAUACUUAGCCUUUGAAACAGAAGAAUCAAAAGAGCCCUUUAACUAGGAUCAGAUGUUAACAAAAAUUAUUUCUUUAAGUUCAGGAACAUGUCAAUAUGAUUUCUCCUCAGCAAGAACGAGGCAACUUUUCAUCUCUGACAGAGCUUGCCAUCGCAGUUAACCGCAGAGAACCUCUGACAGUGUUCAUCAGAACUCAGAAUGGCUUGAUCAGUAUUUUAUAGUCUUUAUUUCCUGUAGUUUGUGUUAGAACAUAAUUUAGUUCACAGGUAGGUAGAAAUAUAGUGAAUAGGAAGGUGAUUUCGAUCUCUACAAUAAGUCACUUUCUUAUAUUAAAUUAUGUCUACCAGCCAUUCACUUUUUCCAGAAGUUGCAGUUAACAUAAUGCACUUAAAGUACUUGCUACAUCUAGAGUUGGAAAGCAGGGGCAAAUGACAGAAUGCCACAUCUCUGGGGAAAAAAAAAAAGAAAAAAAUCAAAAGUCUGACGGAAAGCACAGGAGUUGAAAAAAGGUCUUAUUGAUCAUCAGAGACCUGACGUACAGAAGGUAACUGCUGAGUAGCAAAUACUUGUUCACAUACUUUUGUGCUAUUUAACAUGUACUUAAAAGCUGUAUCUAUGACAUCACGUGCUUUAGAAACGCUUUAGGUUGGUUUCCCCUCCUCCCUUAAAAUAAAAUCUCCCCUUAA